GAACGCACCUUGCGCCCUUUGGCCAUUCCGAAGGGCAUGCCUGUUUGAGUAUCAUGAACACCUCAACUCUUCAUGGUUUUCCAUGAUGAGCUUGGACUUUGGGGGUCUUGCUGGCCUGUGGGUCGGCUCCUCUCAAAUGAAUCAGCUUACCAGUGUUUGGUGGCGUCACAGGUGUGAUAACUAUCUACGCUUGUGGCUUUCCAUCAGGUAACCUUCAGCGAUGGAGGUUUGCUGGGGCUCAUAAAUGUCUCUCCUCAGCGAGGACAGCUUUUUUGAACGUUUGAUCUCAAAUCAGGUAGGACUACCCGCUGAACUUAAG
rnacentral:misc_RNA from 1 species